UGAGCAACCUGCCCUUCUCUUCGGAAUAAGCGUUGGAAACGACGUCUAAUGCCGAAUACGACCUCCUUUCGCAUGAUCGGAGGUGGAAAGCUCCGGCGGAGAAGGAUGAACUCGCGGCCUAUCAGCUAGUUGGUGUGGGUAAUGGCCCACCAAGGCGACGACGGGUAGCCGGCCUGAGAGGGUGACCGGCCACACUGGGACUGAGACACGGCCCAGACUCCUACGGGGAGCAG
rnacentral:rRNA from 1 species